UAGGCCUACGGGAGGCAGCAGUCGGGAAUAUUGCGUAAUGGAGGAAACUCUGACGCAGUGACGCCGCGUAUAGGAAGAAGGUUUUCGGAUUGUAAACUAUUGUCCACAGGGAAGAUAAAAGACUGUACCUGUGAAGAAAGCUCCGGCUAACUACGUGCCAGCAGCCGCGGUAAUACGUAGGGAGCAAGCGCUAUCCGGAAUUAUUGGGUGUAAAGGGUGCGUAGACGGGAUAACAAGUUGGUUGUGAAACCCCUCGGCUCAACUGAGGAACUGCAACCAAAACUAUUAUUCUUGAGUGCAGGAGA
rnacentral:rRNA from 1 species